rnacentral:rRNA from 1 species
AAAUAUUGGGACAUGUAAAAAAGACAACUCUGUUCCGCAGAGUAGCUGUUGACGUUAUAGUUGUGCAGGCACUUUGUUGACUCUAGAGAACCUCGGGCCAAUCGCACAUCCCCGUGGCGGCGACUUUGCAUGCGGAUUUCAUCCAUAUUAACUUUCGAUGCCAGUUUCUGCGCCUACCAUGGUGACCACAGGUAAUGGGGAAUCAGGGUUCCAUUCCGUACAGGGACCCUGAGAAAUGGCUACCACAUGCAAGGAAGGCAGCAGGCGCGCAAAUGACCGACUCCCGACGCGGGAAGGUAGUGAU